GGGGCUGAUUCUGGAUUCGACGGGAUUUGCGAAACCCAAGGUGCAUGCCGAGGGGCGGUUGGCCUCGUAAAAAGCCGCAAAAAAUAGUCGCAAACGACGAAAACUACGCUUUAGCAGCUUAAUAACCUGCUUAGAGCCCUCUCUCCCUAGCCUCCGCUCUUAGGACGGGGAUCAAGAGAGGUCAAACCCAAAAGAGAUCGCGUGGAAGCCCUGCCAGGGGUUGAAGCGUUAAAACUUAAUCAGGCUAGUUUGUUAGUGGCGUGUCCGUCCGCAGCUGGCAAGCGAAUGUAAAGACUGACUAAGCAUGUAGUACCGAGGAUGUAGGAAUUUCGGACGCGGGUUCAACUCCCGCCAGCUCCACCA
rnacentral:tmRNA from 1 species